AUGCUUGCUUUGGCAGCACAUAUACUAAAAAUGGAACAAUACAAAGAAGAUUAGCAAGGAUGACAUAUAAAUUCAUGAAGAGUUCGAUAUUUUU
ensembl:snRNA U6 U6 spliceosomal RNA